rnacentral:rRNA from 1 species
AUGAACGCUGGCGGCGUGCCUAAUACAUGCAAGUCGAGCGAACAGGCGAGGAGCUUGCUCCUCUGACGUUAGCGGCGGACGGGUGAGUAACACGUGGAUAACCUACCUAUAAGACUGGGAUAACUUCGGGAAACCGGAGCUAAUACCGGAUAAUAUAUUGAACCGCAUGGUUCAAUAGUGAAAGACGGUUUUGCUGGCACUUAUAGAUGGAUCCGCGCCGCAUUAGCUAGUUGGUAAGGUAACGGCUUACCAAGGCAACGAUGCGUAGCCGACCUGAGAGGGUGAUCGGCCACACUGGAACUGAGACACGGUCCAGACUCCUACGGGAGGCAGCAGUAGGGAAUCUUCCGCAAUGGGCGAAAGCCUGACGGAGCAACGCCGCGUGAGUGAUGAAGGUCUUCGGAUCGUAAAACUCUGUUAUUAGGGAAGAACAAAUGUGUAAGUAACUAUGCACGUCUUGACGGUACCUAAUCAGAAAGCCACGGCUAACUACGUG